AUAAGAGCUGAAGGCCUCAUGACCUGGUAUAUUUCAUUGCUGUAGCCAGCCAAGAAGUGAUAAAGGCACAGUGGGUUGCUGAAAUCACUACUGUGGAGGGCCACUGCACUUCCCACACAUGAGCACCUAAUGGACUGGUUCUGUAAGUAUUACUACACUUCAGCAGUGGAACUGGAAAUCUACCUCUGAGAAAAAGCAAUGACUAAGCUAAGACCAGAUGUGCAUAAUUAGCAGACACCUCAACAAGUUCAAAGAAGCUUUUGAAAUUAUCCUUGGAGAAGACAGGAUACAGAAACCACACCUGUUUGCU